GCCUAACACAUGCAAGUCGAGCGGAAACGACACUAACAAUCCUUCGGGUGCGUUAAUGGGCGUCGAGCGGCGGACGGGUGAGUAAUGCCUAGGAAAUUGCCUUGAUGUGGGGGAUAACCAUUGGAAACGAUGGCUAAUACCGCAUAAUGCCUACGGGCCAAAGAGGGGGACCUUCGGGCCUCUCGCGUCAAGAUAUGCCUAGGUGGGAUUAGCUAGUUGGUGAGGUAAUGGCUCACCAAGGCGACGAUCCCUAGCUGGUUUGAGAGGAUGAUCAGCCACACUGGGACUGAGACACGGCCCAGACUCCUACGGGAGGCAGCAGUGGGGAAUAUUGCACAAUGGGCGUAAGCCUGAUGCAGCCAUGCCGCGUGUGUGAAGAAGGCCUUCGGGUUGUAAAGCACUUUCAGUCAGGAGGAAAGGUUAGUAGUUAAUACCUGCUAGCUGUGACGUUACUGACAGAAGAAGCACC
rnacentral:rRNA from 1 species